UUUAGACUGGGUAUUAGGAAAAAUGUCUUCCCUGAAAGAGUGGUCAGGCACUGGCACAGGCUGCCCAGAGAGGUGGGGGAGUCACCAUCCCUGGGGGUGUUUAAAAGGUGUGUAGCUGUGCCACUUCAGGGCAUGGUUUGGGAGACAUGGUGGUGUUGGGUUGAUGGUUGGACUUGACUAUCCUACAGGUCUUUUUCAGCCUUAAUGAUUCUGUGAUUCCAUCCCUGGGUCAGCAGGGUGCAGGCAGAGCUUUGUCGUGCCCGGUGAGGAGGGAGCGUGCACAACCCCCGGGCAGCAGAGCUCCCCAUGCAAGAGCCGCUCCGACAGCACAUCUGUCCUCCGCCCCCCCUCCCGAUGCAGCAGCGUGUUCGCAGCUGUGGCACCAACAGCCGUUCUGAAGGUGAAAAAGCAAGGGUGCAAGACUGAAGAGAGACAAAGCCGCGGUAACGUGCAGCAAAGUGCCAGGUGGGUCGGUGAAGCAGAAACAAUUCUGAAACCAAAACAGCUCAGUGUGGGCGCAGUACAUUACAAUACAGAAGAAAAGAAUAUGUUAUCUCUGUAAGAGAGGAAUCGAUACAGUAUUUCAGAAAAAAAAAUGAGGUAAACCAAUGCCUUUUAGGAGCCACAGAACUCAAAAGAUGAGAGCGCUGGGAAAUCAGCUGUGUAUCUGAGCCUGCGGCUGGGGAGGAGAGCCGAACAGAGCACCCAGCUACCUGCAACUGCUGCAGGGCUGCGACGCGUCCCAUCCCCAUUCCUCCUGCCAGCGCUGGGGUUUCUGCACACCGCCUGAGGCUGAGCCCUCCCGCUCGCCCGCAGCGAGGGCCUCUGCACACCUGGCGGGUGGGAGCCUUUCCAUCCUGCCCGGCCGGAGCUGGGACGAAGCCGCAGGGACGAGGAUUUCCCGGCAGGGCUGGGGUCACCCUGGGAGCUGGGCUGGUGGUUCCCGUCCAGCUGACAGGCUUCUGCAGACAUCCUUAGCGUGUGGCAGCAUUGCCUCCUAAGCCUUUAAAUAGAGCUUAAGCUUACAGCCUGAAGGCACUGCCUUGCUCUCAGUGGGACUUUGCAGCUGCAGUCCUUAUUAUCCCAUCUAAGAGAACUCUGUUCCUUUAUUUCCCCCUUUUGGGGCAUCUGGAGCGUGGUCUGUGCCAGCUUUGUCUGCCCAGAAGCUGCCUCCAUUCCUCAGGAAUGAAGCUGAUGGUUUUUCAAUGGCUGCUAACAGCUUGCAGAUAACGUAGGUUUGUUCCCUGUUGUUCUUCGAGAGCAGGGCCCCUCUAAGAGCAGACUGAACUCUGUAUCAAGGAGUCAAAGGGUUAAAAUAAUAUUGGCCCAGUGUGUCAUUGCUGACUAAGAUCCUGGGCUUAACAAGACCCCAAAUUGUUCCUGUUCCAUUGAUGUAAUUUGUUAUCCUGAAUUUCCCCCUAUUUUAUUAGUUCAGCGUUCCCUUUAGCUGUCUCUAAAGUCACAGCUUCAACAUGUAUUCUUCAAUCACCCUCUUGAAACCUGGCAGAAAUACGUGUCUGGAUGAUAAAAUGGUGGCAGUUCUGACCUGGUUUGUAGCUGACAUAAUUCACCUGGCAAGCCGGUUCUCUGCUGACUGGGGUGCUGAGGCCGAUCCUGUCCCCACUCCAGGUGUCUCUGGCUCGUUCCCUGCUGUUUAGUCACGCUGACACGGAGCAAUGGAAAGCUGGAGAAAACAAAACCACAGACUUCAGACCAGAAUGAAUAAAAACAAAAUAAGGUAGGUCCUUUAGGUUUGGAAACUCUCCAACAACCUCUAAUAUGCAUUAGUGAGAUAUCAACUUUCUGCCUUCCAAGAUGAACUAUAAAAUAUUAUAUCUUAGCCCUGCACAUUUUCAAGUUCCUUGUCCUUUAUUGCAGCCACUGGUUAUUAAAACUGGAAAUGGACCGAGACCAAACCUCUGCCUGACUGUGUCUGAAUGGCUGCAUCCAAACCCUGCAGCUUUCGACAACCGGUCUCUAAUGGUUAAAACAAAAGCCAAGCCCAACACACCAGUAAACAACUUCUCAUUUCUCCUCCCCUACUUCCCUAUGCGGACAAAACUCCUCGCACCUGGAUGUACAAAGCUAUUAGGUCAAUGGGUUAACUUAAAUGCUUGCCCACGAACGCUAAAGGCAAAAUGCCCGGUGUGGUUAGCAGUGUCUGAGGAUUAAAAUUCAAUCCCAAUUGAAACUCUUCCCAAGCAUGCAUGAUCAACGAUGAGUCUGAAAGUUAUGUUAUUUUUAUUUUUUUUUAAGUCCAUUGAUGUGAUUCGUUCUGUUUGUAAGACUAACUGGCAGUAAAAGGUAUUAAUUUCCUAUCACUUUGUUCCAAAUUGUCCUUCCCUUGUCCUUGUAUUUUAUGGUCUCCAUUAAGGAAUGUUGUCCUUUGGAUCAUUUUUAUUGGCUUUGCUUUUUAAUAAUCAGCAUUCAUGCUUAAUACAGCAGUUUUUUGGUAACAAAAUUCAUAGCUUAAAAAAAAACCUAAAGCAGCCCCUCUUUCCCCUGACAAAUUUGAAAUGCGAUUACUUUUAUAAGUUAUAAAUAAAGACCUCGUAGUUGAUGUUUAAUGGGAAAGUCUCCCAGUGUAUUUCAGAGCCCUGUUUUUCAGCCUCCUCUGAUAAGAAAACUGCUGACUUGGCAUUUUGGGGAGCUGUUUUUGUGCUUUGUGUUCCUGCUCUAGCUGCCAGGGGUUAGUAAACCUCCGGGCUGCGACGUGGCCAAACCAGGAGCUGCCUGUGCUGCUGUGCUCCCUGCCAGCCCUAACGCCACGCCGGUGCGGUGCUGGGUUUUGCCCGAGAGCUGCCGGAUCAGGACAAGCUUUGGGCUCUCAGGUUGCUGUUCCUGGGGUCUUGCUUUUGGUGACACCUCCACCAAGCCCUGGGAGGGGGGUCUGUGGCAGCUCUCACCCCCACCUGAGCACCGCUAACACCAGCCCGCUGCGGUUUAUCCUCACCAUUAGGUUAGAGAUGGUCAUCUGGGGCAAUGCAUAACGAUGGCUGCUUUCUAUGUUUACAACUCUAUUUUAAAAGUUUGUUUAAAAUGGAGGUAAUGCAUCUCCCUGCUGUUUAUAUGUUGUUAUUUUUUUUUCCCAUGGUAAGACGCUGGGCUAAGUCUCAGGCUCAGAGGACACCAGCCCCAGGGUGAGCGGGGCUUGGCCUGCCCUUCCUGCAGAUAAGCCUCCGCUGGCUUCAUGCUCGGCAGGCUACUGGUGCCUCGGUAGUUUGGGGAGCGAUAGGAAUCUCUAGUGAUAAAUGAACGGCUUCAACCAAAAGCAGCUACUGACAGAUAAGGCUGAAUUACUGCAUGGGUUUUGUAAGUGAAGGGAAGGGUUUGCAGUGAUUCAAAUGACACCUAUAAGCCUUGAUUUGUAAUAACUGUGUUUUCUCUUGACCCCCAUUUAGUGAGACCCUUUUGUACCAAAGAUGGACCAAAGCACAUUCACGGACCCAGAGGUUUCCUGAAAGAUUUGUAAUUUGGCAAAGGUGUCUGUCUCUAAAUGGCCUAGCAAAAGUGCUUGGGUUUGAGGAAAAUGUGCUGGUCUGUUACUGGGGUUCCCUGCCAGUCUGUGCUAGAGAUUUCCUUUUUUUUUUUAUUCCACAUAAUCUGCUCCAGAAGUGCAGCAUAGGAACAUUCAAGGGGAAAGUAACCCUUGUCAGAAAUAUAAAAAAUAAAGCUGUAAAAGCAUUCUUUCUGGUCCUAGUGGGUGAGGGCCCAGUAAAAGAGAUGAUGAUCCAGCUUAAAGCCUGCUUCAGUAACCAAAAAAAAAAAAUUUUAAAAAACCCUCUAGUAUUUAAAAUGGAAUUAAUUUUCUCUUUGGAUUGCUGUCAGGUUGGAAUCAAGUUUAAUUCCUUCGAGCUAUGCUUUCCCUCAAACACCAUUAGUUUUUAGAAGCUUUCCUAGGAGAAGCCAGUUCAUUUGUCUUACAGCACAUCGUGCUGCUGGACUUUGUCUCGGUGGAGGAGCAAGGCUGGGCUGUAACUGCAGUCUCUCCUAAUGAACUCAUACUUGUCACAUAUCCAGCACUAGACGGGCUUGUCUGCCCCUCGCACCCACCCAAAAUAUAGCUGUGUCCCAGGGAGAUGACCUCCACCCCGGGCCCCGCAAGGACUGGGCGAUGCUGAGGUACGCACAGGCUGAUGCAUCCCUGCCCAGGGACUGCUGGGACGUACGGCUCCAGUACCGCUGCCAGGCAGAGGUACAGGACAGCAGAAAGAGCUCAGCUUUCCUGCCCGACAGUCCCCAAGGAGCACAGAGACUGUGGCUGGACUGGGAAGGAUAUCGGGAGUGUGCUACUGCAGGCAGCCUCCUGUCCCUCCCCAGGAAUCCAAAGACAGCAGGUUUUGUUUUCCCAGUAGCUGAUAUACCCACGCAAACAGCAAGUGAGAUGAAUUAGAAAUGUUCAUUAAUGGCAGAAGUAUCAUCUAGUUGGCAAAACUGAGCCUUAGAAUGUGAUUUUCUUGCCUGAAAUGUUGGUGCCUCCGGCAGUAGCCUGCUUGGGUUGUGCGGGCAGCGUCGGAGAAGCGGAGAGUGCUUUGUGAGAGAGGCCUCCGAUGUACCUGUGAGAUAUGAAACCUCCGCAUUGAGGCUGUCUUUAGCUGUCAUGCCUAGGCAGUCCUGGUGUGCACAGAAGUCGGAGAGCGAGGCCGUCCUGUCAGAAGCGGGGAAUGCGACGGCUCAGGCUGCGCAGCCUGGCGUGGCUCCCGACCGCUCCCCUGAGCUGCCCCGGCCACACUGCCGCUGCAGCGCCUAACACGGGGCAUCCAGGCUGCGCUCCUGGAAGACAUUCUAGAUUUGGCUGAUAAAACCGCGAGUGUGACAUAAUACGCUUCACCUUCUGUACCAUAUGUGACUUAGGACAUCACGGCUUUCUGUUUUAAGGAAAAAAUAAUUGUAACCUCAAUAUAGCACCUGACAAUUGAAUUGGAAUUUGAUACCCAAUAGCUCCCCUGAAGUAGUCACCAAAUGCGGGGACGGGUGUAGUCAGUGGCAUUUUACAAAGACUGGGCUUUUAAGCAGAUUCCCGAUCAAUCCUUUUUGUCAACACCAAUAUAAAAAUCACUGCUGGUAAAACUUAUGGACAGACUGAUGAUAAACAGGUAACAAGGAAAGUCAGGCACAGUAAUGAGAGUGAAUUGAUAGGUUCAUGUCUAUGGGUUUUUAUCUAGAUAACUACAAAGCUAUACUUGUGAGAACAUGGAGGUGGCGUGUAUAGGUAGAGUACUGCAUCCUAAAACCUGCAGGUCUGAAGGCGGCGGGGGCGGCCGUGGGUGCAAAAACUCAGCACGAGCUUCCAUUACGGUGCGGUGGCAAAAGGGCCGCUGCGAUUGCUGGGGAUAGGAAGCAGAAAGAGGGGGAAGCCUUGUCUUUAAAAAGGAGAGAGGGACAAAGGCAUGCUCUGUGAAGUUCAGGGACCACUUUCAAAAAAUGUUGAAAAACCAGGCAAGUUGCAGAAAACAGCCACAGAAAUUAUUUGGACUAGAAGAAAAUCCCUUAUAAAAAGAGACUUUUUAUCCUGAAGGGCAAUAAAAUGGGAUGGGGGAAAGGAAAGGACUGAGAGUGACUUAAUUACACUUUAUAAUGGAAUGUAGGAAAAAAAUACCAUGUACUUAAUUUACCAUAUGAAAGCACAAAAAGACACAACACCUGGAAUCUGAGGUGUGCAAAUGAACAUAGAAAAUGAGGAUCGAUGUCUGACCAGUGGGGAUGAUUAGCUUUGGACCAAGCCACCAACUGAUGUGGCUCUUCCAGUGAAGACAAAAUGCCUCUCUUUGAAGAUAUGCCAGAGGAGUUAUUAGGACAAAAAUUACAGUAACUGGCUGAGAUUUAAUGACUUGUAGCAUACAGGCUGUCAGAAUAGAUGCCUCAGUGUUGCCUUUUGGCGUCCGACUGCAUUUAAACCCCUCUUUCAUGAUGUGAAUCUUGGCUUCCCAGCACUCCUUAUCAUUUCUUUCUACUCUUGUUCUCAGUCUGUUCUUGGAGGAGUUCCUCUCUCUCCCCUGCCCCCCCCGCUCUUAUUUUUUAUGCCACUGCAGACAAAAACUGGGGUUCUUUUGAAGGGCCUGAAGGGAGUUACACUCCCAGCUUCAUCUGAAUUCAAAGGGAACUGGGUGCCAAAUGCAGAUCUUGUGAAAGCCUCAACCCAGAGCCCUGAAAUUCGGUGGAGCUUUGAAAGCCUCAUAAAAAGCAAGCUUGCUGAUAGCGGGCUGUCUUGAGUUUUAUUCCUUCAUCUUAAGUAUUUUUCUGAUGGAGGUUCUAAAACUAUACACAACGAUGACUAGAAAUAAGAGAGUACAUGUCUGGCUGUCACACAUGAAUUUUUUUGCAAGGAAAAUCACCACAGUUAUUUUACUGGCUGGUUAUCUCAAAGCAGCAAGUAUCCAGACGGUUGUCUCCAAAUGUUGUUAUUAAAUUCAGCAGGAAAUCCAUCCUGUCCAAAAGAAUUAUUAGUUUCCAUUGCUCCUGGAAAUGUCCAGAGAUGUUAAUUUGUGCAUGUUUGUUCUGCACAAGUAGCCGGCCAGUGAGUAGGGCCGUAGUUUGAUCUUGUCCUCGAGUCCUGGGAGCUGUGUGGCAGCUGUAAAACCAGUGUCAACGUCUAGGCCAGGGGGUUAUUUAUAAAGGCAAGUCUUCCCAAAACACCCUGAUUGCUCCAACUAUAAAUAUGCUUCAUAUCACAGGGCAGCAUUUGAAAUUAGUUGUUUAACAUCUCAAAGCGCGGCCCAGAUGCCAUAAGUGGCAGUCUUUGCCAUGAAGAAUUUGGUAUUUGUCAGCUAUUUCUGCCCAGAGGUGUGUGAGAUGCCACAGUUUCCCCUUUUACUUACAAGAGGGAAAUAACGGGUGGCAAUCUAGUCUCUGUCAGUGCCGUAGGUGCUCAACCACAAAGCAGUCGUCCCUUAUUUGUACCAUAAGGCCCGUUGGGGGUGGGAAUCAUCUACCAAAGGGAGUGGGAAGCAGGAGCAGGACAGGGGGCUAUUUUGCCUCAGUUGACUGCUGGAGCAAGCCCAGCGCAGAGCUGCCAAGGUGAUC